rnacentral:rRNA from 1 species
AGUGAACGCUGGCGGCAGGCCUAACACAUGCAAGUCGAACGGCAGCACAAGAGAUCUUGCUCUCUGGGUGGCGAGUGGCGGACGGGUGAGGAAUGCAUCGGAAUCUGCCCAUUUGUGGGGGAUAACCUCGGGAAACCGGGACUAAUACCGCAUACGACCUACGGGUGAAAGCAGGGGAUCUUCGGACCUUGCGCAGAUGGAUGAGCCGAUGCCGGAUUAGCUAGUUGGAGGGGUAAAGGCCCACCAAGGCGACGAUCCGUAGCUGGUCUGAGAGGAUGAUCAGCCACACUGGGACUGAGACACGGCCCAGACUCCUACGGGAGGCAGCAGUGGGGAAUAUUGGACAAUGGGCGCAAGCCUGAUCCAGCCAUGCCGCGUGUGUGAAGAAGGCCUUCGGGUUGUAAAGCACUUUUGUCGGGAAAGAAAAGCAGCCGGUUAAUACCCGGUUGUCAUGACGGUACCCAAAGAAUAAGCACCGGCUAACUUCGUG